GAUCAUGGCUCAGGACGAACGCUGGCGGCGUGCUUAACACAUGCAAGUCGAACGCUGAAGCUCAGCUUGCUGGGUGGAUGAGUGGCGAACGGGUGAGUAACACGUGAGUAACCUGCCCUCUUCUUUGGGAUAACGCCCGGAAACGGGUGCUAAUACUGGAUAUUCACUGAUCUUCGCAUGGGGGUUGGUGGAAAGGUUUUUCUGGUGGGGGAUGGGCGUCGCGGCCGUACUCAGCUUGUUUGGUUGGGGUUGGG
rnacentral:rRNA from 1 species